ensembl:lncRNA
GAAACCUUAAAUACCAUCCAAUUCCAAACCCUUUGUCAUGUGCAGGGUUGCCAGCCUUUCAAGCUGCCCUGGAUCCCAUCCAUUCCAACCCUGAGUGCCUGCAGAGAUGUGACAUUAUCUUAGUGUAGGUAUAUACAGUCAUUUAUAAGAGAGCAGCACCAGUAUACGCAUGGAGAAUUCUUCUGGAUUUCUGCUGUAUGACUGUGCUCUGACUCUACAUCAAGUGACCUUUUAACAUUACCUUGAUUUUGUCAUAUAGCUGAAGAUACCUCAAUGGUGAUGCUUGCUACCUUGGUGUUUGGGCUCCAUGCAACAAGACAGAGGCACAGAAAUGUAUUCUGCAGAAAUCUGAAGUUGAAAGAUCCAUAACCCCUACCAGGAAGAUAACUGUAGGAGGAAUGUGGUAUUCGGGAGCUAACUGAAAAAUUGUUCUCAUGGAAAGACUCUGUGUGUGCAGAGUGUAAAUAGUCAGUCUGUGCAUCAUUGUUUCUCUACCCUCAAAAAUAGUUUUAAGAUACUUUAAAAUAUUUACCUCUUGGAGCUACGAAGUAGUGCUCUGUUGCAGUGUCCUGUAAAUUUUUGGGGCUUUUUCCUAUUGGUAUAAUAUCAACAUUUUUCACUCUCAGAAGCGAUAUACAGCUCUUAAAGCAGAAACUUUUAAACUGUGUAGCAAAAUGUACUAGUGCUCUGUACUUAGAAGACUUAAAUGGUGCUGACUUGUAGCUAGCUUUUCUAAACAGACAGAUAUAGCAUUUACAACACCAUAAAAUAAGUGUUUGCUGGAAAUCGGGGACAAAACCAGCAGCUCUGAUUUAACAUCUGGCACAUCUUACUGGGAAAGAAUUUACACUACUCCAAACAUUGGCUUCUUAAAAAUAUUAGUAUCUGCAAAUCACCAGGUGUUUGUACAACAGUGCUAUACUGGGCCAGGAGAAAGG